GAUGAACGCUGGCGGCGUGCCUAAUACAUGCAAGUCGAGCGAACGGACGAGAAGCUUGCUUCUCUGAUGUUAGCGGCGGACGGGUGAGUAACACGUGGAUAACCUACCUAUAAGACUGGGAGAACUUCGGGAAACCGUAGCUAAUACCGGAUAAUAUUUUGAACAGCAUGGUUCAAAAGUGAAAGACGGUCUUGCUGGCACUUAUAGAUGGAUCCGCGCUGCAUUAGCAAGUUGGUAAGGUAACGGCUUAGCAAGGCAACGAUGCAUAGCCGACCUGAGAGGGUGAUCGGACACACUGGAACUGAGACACGGUCCCGACUCCUACGGGAGGCAGCAGUAGGGAAUCUUCCGCAAUGGGCGAAAGCCUGACGGUGCAACGCCGCGUGAGUGAUGAAGGUCUUCGGAUCGUAAAACUCUGUUAUUAGGGAAGAACAUAUGUGUAAGUAACUGUGCACAUCUUGACGGUACCUAAUCAGAAAGCCACGGCUAACUACGUG
rnacentral:rRNA from 1 species